rnacentral:lncRNA from 1 species
CGGUUCCCGCCCAGUUCGCUGCAGAGGCACCUGCGGUGACUGGCCGAGACGGCGGCGGAGCUGAUUGGCCCGGUGCACAUGAGGCGACAUCAGGCGGUGGGGCCGGCAGGGCAGGGCAAGGUAGCCUGCGGCACUACCGCUCACUCUGGACGUGCAUUUGGCUCCAUUCUCCCAGGUGUGCUUAGGCAAGACUGUGAAUAACUCAGGCCCAGCUGCUGCCAAGUGGGUGACUAAGAGGACUGCGGGGAGGGGCGGAGAAAGUGAACUUAGAGUGAGAAAGAGUUCCUGUCGAGAGGUACCUGGCAAUCUUCAAAGGGAGUUCCCCGACUCGGCAGAGUUAGACCCGCCAGGCACUGUAUACAGCAGGCUCAUAAGAGUUGCUUGCUGAAGCCGGCUUCCUCACCCAUAUCAAAUGAGUGCUAUUUUUAAUUCCUAAUGUAUACAAAAGGAAACUGAAGCUUACAGAUGUUACAAGCAUCAGCAAGCCGCAACAUCCGCCUAUACCUCCCUCCCCCAUUUACCUGGGCUGGAAC